rnacentral:rRNA from 1 species
UACGUAGGGGGCAAGCGUUGUCCGGAAUCAUUGGGCGUAAAGAGCGUGUAGGCGGCCCGGUAAGUCCGCUGUAAAAGUCAAAGGCUCAACCUUUGAAUGUCAGUGGAUGCUGCCGGGCUAGAGUCCGGAAGAGGCGAGUGGAACUCCUGGUGUAGCGGUGGAAUGCGCAGAUAUCAGGAAGAACACCAACGGCGAAGGCAGCUCGCUGGGACGGUACUGACGCUGAGACGCGAAAGCGUGGGGAGCGAACAGG